AUGGGUAAGGAUAAGGUAAUGGAAUUGAUAGAGAAAUUCAUAGACCUAGGUAGGAUAGGAAAAUUGAUAAAGGGAAUAGAGAUGAUGAUAGAGAUCAUACUGAGAAAGAGGAUAAUUCCGUACGGGUACAACUCUUAUUUGAACGAAGUGCAAAAAAUGCGAUCUUUUUUGUCUAAUAGAACAAACACUAAUAUCUUAAUUGAGUCGGUAAAGAUCAAAUAUAUUUAUCAAAGUGCUUCUCUGAUUGCUCAAGACAUCUCUUUUCAACUAAGGAACAAUCCAAUCUCAUUUCGUUCCAUUUUUAGUAAAAUAGUGAAGGAUAUUCCAUUAAUAAUGCCAAAAGGGGUGGAGGGGAUACGUAUUUGUUGUUCUGGUCGAUUAGGGGGUGCGGAAAUAGCAAGAACUGAAUGUGGAAAGUAUGGAAAAACAUCUUGUAAUGUAUUUAACUAUGAAAUCGAUUAUGCUCCUGCGGAAGUAUCUACUCGUAACGGAAUUUCAUGUGUCCAAGUGCGGAUCUCAUAUAGUCAAAAUAAGAAGGGACGUGCUAUAUCCGAAAUGUACGAAAUAUAG
rnacentral:rRNA from 1 species